rnacentral:rRNA from 1 species
UAAGGUGAAACCGCGAAUGGCUCAUUAAAUCAGUCAUGGUUCCUUAGAACAUACCAUCCUUCUUGGAUAACUGUGGUAAUUCUAGAGCUAAUACAUGCAACAGAGCUCCGACCCUUGUGGAACGAGCGCUUUUAUUAGACCAAAGACCAAUCGGAGCUUCGGCCCCGUCAGUCUGUGGUGACUCUGGAUAACUUUUAGCGGAUCGCACGGUCAUCGUGCCGGCGACUCCUCUUUCAAAUGUCUGCCUUAUCAACUUUCGAUGGUAGGUUAAUUGCCUACCAUGGUUGUAACGGGUGACGGGGAAUCAGGGUUCGAUUCCGGAGAGGGAGCCUGAGAAACGGCUACCACAUCCAAGGAAGGCAGCAGGCACGCAAAUUACCCACUCCCAGUACGGGGAGGUAGUGACGAAAAAUAACAAUGCGGGACUCUUACGAGGCCCCGUAAUUGGAAUGAGUCCACUUUAAAUCCUUUAACGAGGACCUAUUGGAGGGCAAGUCUGGUGCCAGCAGCCGCGGUAAUUCCAGCUCCAAUAGCGUAUACUAAAGUUGUUGCGGUUAAAAAGCUCGUAGUUGGAUGUCAGUUGCGGGCGGGCGGUCCACCGUUUUGGUGGUUUACUGCUCGUCCCGCGACCUACUGGCCGGCCUCCCCCGCUAUGCUCUUCACCGGGUGUGGCGGGUGGCCGGAAAGUUUACUUUGAAAAAAUUAGAGUGCUCUAAGCAGGUGCUUGCCGCCUGAAUAACACAGCAUGGAAUAAUGGAAUAGGACCUCGGUUCUAUUUUGUUGGUUUUCGGAAUUCCGAGGUAAUGAUUAAUAGGGACAGACGGGGGCA